GGUAGAAUGGCUGAUAUAAGCAUUAGACUGUAAAUCUAAAUAUAAAGGUUAUAAUCCUUUUUUUACCA
rnacentral:tRNA from 1 species